GAUGAACGCUGGCGGCGUGCCUAAUACAUGCAAGUCGAGCGAACGGACGAGAAGCUUGCUUCUCUGAUGUUAGCGGCGGACGGGUGAGUAACACGUGGAUAAUCUACCUAUAAGACUGGGAUAACUUCGGGAAACCGUAGCUAAUACCGGAUAAUAUUUUGAACCGCAUGGUUCAAAAGUGAAAGACGGUCUUGCUGUCACUUAUAGAUGGAUCCGCGCUGCAUUAGCUAGUUGGUAAGGUAACGGCUUACCAAGGCAACGAUGCAUAGCCGACCUGAGAGGGUGAUCGGCCACACUGGAACUGAGACACGGUCCAGACUCCUACGGGAGGCAGCAGUAGGGAAUCUUCCGCAAUGGGCGAAAGCCUGACGGAGCAACGCCGCGUGAGUGAUGAAGGUCUUCGGAUCGUAAAACUCUGUUAUUAGGGAAGAACAUAUGUGUAAGUAACUGUGCACAUCUUGACGGUACCUAAUCAGAAAGCCACGGCUAACUACGUG
rnacentral:rRNA from 1 species